UGGGCGCAAGCCUGAUGCAGCAACGCCGCGUGAGGGACGACGGCCUUCGGGUUGUAAACCUCUUUUGGCAGGGAAGAAGCGAAAGUGACGGUACCUGCAGAAAAAGCACCGGCUAACUACGUGCCAGCAGCCGCGGUGAUACGUAAGGUGCAAGCGUUGUCCGGAAUUAUUGGGCGUAAAGAGCUCGUAGGCGGUUUGUCGCGUCUGCUGUGAAAACCCGAGGCUCAACCUCGGGCCUGCAGUGGGUACGGGCAAACUCGAAUGCAGUAGCGGAGAAGGGAACUCCUGGUGUAGCGGUGGAAUGCGCAGAUAUCAGGAGG
rnacentral:rRNA from 1 species